UUUUGCCGGGGCACGUUCUUCCCUCUCGCUUUUGGCGGGGAGCGUUUUAAGCAGAUUUGCUCGCAUGAAAGCGAAAACUAGCGAGACUAAAAUGUUAUUACGCAUACGCUCCGUUGGCCGACGGAUGGCCCUUAAAUUUGGGUCAAUUUUAGUUGUUUUUCGUACACGAAAAAUUUCCAAGCGCAAGUGUUUCAGUUUUAUUCGUUUUUUCAUAAGGAGCCUCAGCUUGGGCGACAGUUCAUCGACUUAAAAAUGUUUAAACAAAAGCUGAAGAAGCAACAAGCUUUUCUCUAGUUUUUGCAAACGAAAUGAAAGAAAUGAGUUCACGUGCCCUCCCCGUUUAUUUUAAUUAAAUGAGCUGGGUUUUGUGGCCUAAUUAGUUUCACCUGUGUCAAUGUGCAAACAAAGCCGCCAAAGCAUAUGGAAUGUAUGCCAGGAGCUUUUGUUGCUGCUGCUGCUGCUGAUGAAGAAGACAACAACGGACAUAUACACAAAUAUAUAUGGUAUAAUAUUCAAUGGGAGCCAGACAGACGAGACUGCAUCCAAAACAAUGCCAGCAUUUACUGAAAAAUCCAUCCAGGAAUCAACAGCGCAGACUUCGAUGUGGAUACACCAUUGCGCAUAAACUUUCUGCGGCUCCUCCGAUAGACCUAAAUCUGGUUUUCGAGCGUGUACCACAUACGUAUCACCAGGGCAGUCUGCUAAUUGCGUAGGCGCUGUCCCGCAUGACCAACUAGAUUUUUCAGUGGCUACUGGGCAUUAGAGGGGGACAGAGUUCGUUUCAUUGGACACGCGCCUUGGUAAGAUUCCAUUGGGAUUUCUUUGGGUUACUAGAGUACUUCAAUGAUGCUCCAUGGACCAAUUUUACUGCGGAUGGUGCUCAAUGGGAAUUCUUUAAAGUGCAUUAAUUCCAGGCAUACAUUAUACUUAUGUGUAGAUAAGGGUUAGAAAUCUGGUAGGGAACAAAUUUAAACUGAAUCUAAACAGAUUCGUGCUGAAAUCUACAAAACCGGAAGACUUCACCACUCUUAUUGUUCUCUAUGAAAACAUGCUAAACAUUUCGCACGUGGAAUAUCUCACCUUGUUGUAAACUACCAGAAAAUUACGUAUCCGCCGCGUGUUGCGUGUCUCAUGAAGAUUCACGGCUAAGAGAAGAGCACACCGAUAGAAAGAGAGACGAAGAGAGGACGGUAUGAGAAAAUAGCUGAAGAAACGACUGCAAAUUGUAUGGCAUUAAGAGACACUGUUGCCAGAGCUAAGUGCUUUUAAUGUUUAUUAAUUAUGCAAUUAAAUUUUGCUGGUCAUUUAAUUGUUUAAUACUCAUAUACAAUACAAUAUACCACAAGUUUAUAUGGUAGGCGAGUGGACGAGACACAUUUGGCCGUCCAGCUUCUGCGGUUUUCUCCACUGUCCGAUCUUUGUAAUGAGGCGACUAAUGCGCAUUUAAUUUGACACAUUUGACUUGGCUUUUCGACUUUUCGACUUGACGACGACGCGGGCUCGUGCCUAAUGGGCCAGUCUUUUACAGCUCUUAGCCAAGUGGAAUUAUGUCAGCUAAUUAUUUAGUUAACAUCGUUAUGCGCCCGACUCCGACAAACAAUUGUGAGCAAUUUUUCUAUUCAUUGAGUGGAAAUUGUUUUUGUACAGCGUUUUGUUAGGUGCGCGCCGCUGUGCUGGCAUAUAAUUUUCAAGACCCUGAGACCGAGCCAAGGUCAGAGUAUUUAGCAUUAGUUAGAUGGCUCUGUCUUUUUUGUGCACUUUUGGGAGUCACGAACCGGCACGGAAGACGUCACCGCCAACGGCUCACAAUGAGCAAACAGAACUCUUCUUUAGUUCGCUUUCAUUUUCAGAUACGUAGAU